GUUGCACCCUGUUCAUCAUCUUCAUCUUCCUCUUCUCCACUGCCGUCAUCUUCCUUGGGUGGUUGAGACAUCUUCACUGCCUUGGUCUGAGGUUCAGAUUGCCGAGAUUGCAUUUUCCCACUUGAUUUGCUUUUGCUACUGUUGUUAUGAGUUGCAGAUUGUUCCUUGGGAAGCUUCACAUUUCCUGACACAACUUCAAAUAUUGUUGGGACGUCAUUUAUCAUCUGGAAAAGCCUCUUCCUUUCAUUCUUACCAAACCCAAAGCGCGCACCAAAAUAAAAUGCUACAGCAAGCAACCAAGAAUC
rnacentral:misc_RNA from 1 species